rnacentral:rRNA from 1 species
UGCAGUCGAGCGGUAGCACANGGGAGCUUGCUCNCCUGGGUGACGAGCGGCGGACGGGUGAGUAAUGUCUGGGAAACUGCCUGAUGGAGGGGGAUAACUACUGGAAACGGUAGCUAAUACCGCAUAACGUCGCAAGACCAAAGAGGGGGACCUUCGGGCCUCUUGCCAUCAGAUGUGCCCAGAUGGGAUUAGCUAGUAGGUGGGGUAAUGGCUCACCUAGGCGACGAUCCCUAGCUGGUCUGAGAGGAUGACCAGCCACACUGGAACUGAGACACGGUCCAGACUCCUACGGGAGGCAGCAGUGGGGAAUAUUGCACAAUGGGCGCAAGCCUGAUGCAGCCAUGCCGCGUGUGUGAAGAAGGCCUUCGGGUUGUAAAGCACUUUCAGCGAGGAGGAAGGUGGUGANCUUAAUACGNUCAUCAAUUGACGUUACUCGCAGAAGAAGCACCGGCUAACUCCGUGCCAGCAGCCGCGGUAAUACGGAGGGUGCAAGCGUUAAUCGGAAUUACUGGGCGUAAAGCGCACGCAGGCGGUUUGUUAAGUCAGAUGUGAAAUCCCCGGGCUCAACCUGGGAACUGCAUUUGAAACUGGCAAGCUAGAGUCUCGUAGAGGGGGGUAGAAUUCCAGGUGUAGCGGUGAAAUGCGUAGAGAUCUGGAGGAAUACCGGUGGCGAAGGCGGCCCCCUGGACGAAGACUGACGCUCAGGUGCGAAAGCGUGGGGAGCANACAGGAUUAGAUACCCUGGUAGUCCACGCUGUAAACGAUGUCGAUUUGGANGUUGUGCCCUUGAGGCGUGGCUUCCGGAGCUAACGCGUUAAAUCGACCGCCUGGGGAGUACGGCCGCAAGGUUAAAACUCAAAUGAAUUGACGGGGGCCCGCACAAGCGGUGGAGCAUGNNGNUUUNAUUUCGAUGCNACGCGAAGAACC